rnacentral:lncRNA from 1 species
AAGUUUUAGAAGGAAGACCUGAAAUUGUGAGUGAAAACUACAUGUUGUGUUACUGAUAAAUAGGACCUGUGAGGUCCAUUUGUGAUUCAGUGAAACUGCUUUCAUGCUAUUUUUUGAAUGAGAAUAAUAUUUGUUGAUUUUUGAGAUUCGGUCAUGAGCAAGACACACAGGUCAGAGCUGUUUACUCCCUCUGGAAACCUUAAAAGGUCUAGAAGGAAAGCUCUGAUUCUGUACAGAGAGAACCAGUUGGGUCAAAUCAUUGAUAAUAUAGUUUGUUCAAGAGAUAGGAGAGGAGUUCCCUUGUGGCACCGAAGGCUAAAGAUCCGGCAUUGUCACUGCAGUGGCAUUGGGUUGCUGCAGUGGCACAGGUUCAGUCCCUGGCCUGGGAACAUCCACAUGCCAUGGCUCGGCCAAAAAUUAAAUUAAAAAAGGAGAGAGAGAUAGGAUGGAAUUCCAUAUGGCUUUGUAGUUGGAAGUGUCAAUUGUUGUGGUUCUCAUUUAAUGAAAGAGUAAAUAACGGGGUUCAACCAGGAGCGCUGUGCCAUGUGCCGAACCUCACUGUGACCUCCUGCCCUUUCCCGAAGGUGUUCAUUUAGUGAGCUGAGGUUUCCUCCUGGAACCUUUGUAUGAUAAACGCAUCACAUCGCCAGAAUUAAGAGAGAGCAUUUUGUUAAGUCCAUUUGAUGAAUGACUUAAUUUGCAACAGAUGCAUUAUCAGGUUAUUUUCUGACCUCGAAAUUUAUUUAUUUAUUUAUUUUUCAUUUUGUAGUAGCAGAUAAUUUGUCCUUAAAAUCUGUUAAGUAAUAGGAUAAAUGUCAUUAAUGAUUGUUUUAAUAUUAAAUUUGGGGAAAAAAAUGACUGGAUCCUAGGCAGGUCAUUUUCCUUUUACCAGAAUGUAGUAGGUGGUAUUUAAACUUCUUCUCUGCUCCUGUAUUAGCUUGGCCUGCCAUUGACUGGUGGCUCAAACACAACAGACAUUUAUUUUUCGUAGUCUGAAGCCUGGGAAUUCCAAGAUCAAGACGCUGGCAAGGUAGGUUUCAUUCUGAGGUCUCUUCUCUUGGCUUGUAAGGAGUUGCCAUCUCCCUGUGUGGUCACAGGUUGUCUUUGUGCAUGCUUGUGUGUGUGAGCAAACUCCCUGUUGUCUCUUAUAAGUCUUGAGUGUCUCUCUCUUUUUUUCAUUUUGACUGCCCCACGGCAUAUGGAGUUGAUGGGCCAGGGACCCGAUCUGAGCCGCGGUUGCGACCUGUGCCAUAGCUGCUGGAUCCUUUAACCGCCUGUGUCAACCUGGGAACUGGACCUACAUCUUGGCCCUGCACCACGGGGCAGGUUCCUGAGUGUCUCUUACAAGGGCCCCAGUCCCAUCGUGAGGCCCCCACCCUCAUGACUCCUUCCAACCCUGAUUACCUCCCAAGGGCCUCAUCUCCAAAUACCGUUUCUUUGGGUGUUAGGGCUUCAACAUAAAUAAACUUUGGGGGGACCCAAACAUUCAAUCCAUAGUAACCGCCGAAAUUGAUCUGAGGUUUAGAGAAAGCUUACAGAAUAGAUUUCCACUGUAUAUGGGGAGUUUAAAUACUCCAUUAGCUAAAUAUCAUUUGUUAGGUCACUUUAUGAUUCUUUUAAACCAAGAUAUCUGUUCAUGCAUAUGAAAAAAUAUAUGAGUGCUUUUCACUCUAAAAGGUCUUUGUACAUUAAUUGGUAAACUUUAGAUAUGAGUACUGAUUUGCCUCUGAUACAUAUUUGAUAACUCAGUUUAUAUUCAUUGAGCAAAGAGAUGUUUUAUCUAACAAUUACAAUUUACAUCCACUUGUUUAGCCCCACCGUAAUUUUAUAUGCAAUCGUGAUAACCCGAGGGAUCUCCCUCAUUUGAUGCUUCCUUACCCAAGACACACACACUCACUGCACGCUCACAGAGGGCCUUCUUUACCGCUUGAACGGCCGGGCUUUGAGGUUUCCACCUUCUCAGCCACACAGGCCCAGGCUGAGUGUAGUACGUGGCCUUCCCUUCUUAGGCCUUGUACCUCUUUGGGCUACUGUCAGUGUGUCCUGUAGCUGCUUAUGCCCUCAGGAAAAUCGCAGUAUUUUAAAGGUGCUGGCAAAGUGCCUGAUGGAUGUAUAUAUAUAUAUAUAUUUUUUUGUCUUUUUGCCUUUUCUAGAGCCGCACCCACGACAUGUGGAGGUUCCCAGGCUAGGGGUCGAAUCAGAGCUGUAGCCGCCAGCCUAUGCCAGAGCCACAGCAAUGCGGGAUCUGAGCCGCAUCUGCAACCUACACCACAGCUCACGGCAACGCCGGAUUGUUAACCCACUGAGCAAGGACAGGGAUGAAACCCGCAACCUCAUGGUUCCUAGUCGGAUUCGUUAACCACUGCGCCACGACGGGAACUCCAUCCCUUCAGUACAUUUUUUGAAGCACUUCGACUUAAUGGAGGGAGAGGCAGUUGUGUAGACGUUACAUAAUAGGGUUGUGAAUAUUAGAGAAAAAUAAAUUCUCUUCGUAUGAUUCCUAGCACACACCAAUGUCAAAUACUCUAUUCUCCAAGGAAGCCGUCUUUCCUCUGGAGCUAAUAUGUAGAAUUGCUCAGGAUUUUAACCCUCGGUGCAUCAUGUUAAUGAAUUUGGUUCCAUGUGAGGCAUCUGCAUUCCAGGCGUGAGUGGAUGAGUGAAGAGAGGAGGGUGAGUGGUAGACAGGUAGGAGGGCAAGUCUGGAUAGUGGGCCUUUGGGAACCUCUUAAAAAAUCACACUGUGGAGCGCCUCCUCCUUCCGUCUCUAGAUAGGGCUGGCGCUGAAAGCACCUGGUUAUUUGCAGAAACGAGGACCAUGGAGCUCUUGCUGUGGUGCAGUGGGUUCAGUAUCUGACUGGAGUAGCUGGGGUCACUGUGGAGUUGCAGGUUUGAUCCCUGGCCAGCACAGCAGGUUAAGGGACCUGGGGUUGCUGCAGGUGCCUCAUAGGUCACAGCUGCCGCUCAGAUUCAGUCUCUAGCCGGGGAACAUUUAAUGCGGCCAUUAAAAAAGAAAGACAGACGUGAGGACCAGAUAGCGUAAUGCUGGAUUUUCAUGAAGUGUCCUUUAUGAUGGGCUUCGGCAGGUUCUGAGAAUACUCCUCCGGUUGAAGAUUAUUUUCUGCUUAAGAGGUAAUGAUUUGGUAAUAAAUGUCGGUAUAGUGGGAAAAAUGUUGAUGUGGAUGCAUUUGAAUCGAAAACAAAUGGUCAAGGCUGUGGCGCGCCUUCUUCCUUCGUUAGGCCCCAACGCCAAGGCGGUGUUUCCAGUGACAGCCAGCGCGGCACUGAGCGCAGAUUCUCCAGAUGCCCACGCCGCAGGUUUGACGUGCUGUUGACUGGAUUUGGGUCUUUGACUGGGCAUUUAGGAGGCUGUGGGCUAAGAUUUUUAUCAUUGAUUUAUACCUCGCUUCAUGUAGGUUUGGUUUCUUUCUUUUUUCGGAUUUUUCCUCUCUCUUUCUUUCUCUUUCUUUCUUUCUUUCUUUUGGGGGGGCUUUUUUUUGGGUUUUUUUUUUUUUUUGUCUUUUUGCCUUUUCAAGGGCAACACCCGUGGCACAUGGAGGUUCCCAGGCUAGGGUUCCAAUCGGAGCUGUAGCCGCCAGCCUAUGCCAGAGCCACAGCAAUGCGGGAUCCGAGCUGUGCAACCUACACCACAGCUCACGGCAAUGCCGGAUCCUAAGCCACUGAGCGAGGCCAGGGAUCCAACCCACAACCUCGUGGUUCCCAGUCGGAUUUGUUAACCACUGAGCCCUGACGGGACCUCCCUGGGGGGGUGCUUUUUAGGGCCGCACCCAUGACAUAUGGAGGUUCCCAGGCUAGGGGUCAAAUCGGAGCUAUAGCUGCUGGCCAAUACCACAGCCACAGCAGUGCGGGAUCUGAGCCAUGUCUGUGACCUGCACCACAGCUCACGGUAAUGCCAGAUCCUUAACCCCCUGAGCAAGGCCAGGGAUCAAACCCACAACCUCAUGGUUCGUAGUCAAAUUCGUUUCUGCUGCGCCACGACGGAAACUCCAGGUUUGAUUUCUUUGAUCAGUGAGUCAUGUUUAUUUUCCUUGCUGUUAAGUUGAAUUGCAGUACCUUUAAAGUGGCGUUUUAAAGUUUAUGUUGGGCAAUACGAGUAGUUUAUCGGAUUCAACCUCGGUUUAUCCUGGAACUGACAGUAUAGUAUGUAGAGUACAGUGAAUCAGUCAUUUAUGCUAGUCUAGAAAACAGUUGGUUUUCAGAUUUGUUUAUUUAACCUUUUUAUUGGUGGUUAAAUGAAUAUCUCAGUGCUCGGAAUGCUUAAUAUAACUAUAAAAAUGCUGGCCAGAGCAGUGUCAUUUUCUCUAACUAAUCUCAAAAGAUCUUAAGUCUUUGAACCAUUUUAAAAAAGUUCUACAGAGAUGAGGUCAAUACAGCAUGAUGUACGUUGUCAGGAUAGAACACACUCAGAGCUGUACUACUUCACAUUAGGGAGUUUAACAGUUCAGUGGUUGAAUAACUUGGUUUUGUUUUGUUUCCCUGGGAAAGUUAAAAGGAGAUGUAAAAUAGUAUUUAAAAUAGCAAGCCAGCUUCUCAGUCAUAUCAGUUCUUUUCUGUUUCAGGUCAGCUGCAGGAUGCUAGGACAAAAUAGGCCGGGCUGGUCCCUCUUACAAGGAGAAACGGGUCUGAUAAACAUCCUUGCUUUUGGUUAACGCAGAAGAUGACCAGGGUGCCGAGGAGAGCGAUGCAAUAACACACAAGCAGACCUGCUUUUCCUGCUGCUCCCAGGGAGGCUCCACCGCCAGGGCCAGAGACUAGUUUGGUCUUCUUGAUAUUGUGGCUCCAGAGGAUUCAGUCUUCGGAUUGGCUACUUCAAUUCUGUGAAGUCACGAACUGUGUCUAGUUUCAGUUUCCCUGUACUUUCGUGGGUAAUAGGCAGGAUGGCGGUAGCUUUGAGCACAUCACUAGAGAGGAGUUAAAAAUCGAUUUUUCUUGAGGCAGUGACUUGUAUGGCAGAUAGUUGAUAGCAAAAUUAAAUUUGGGGUUUAUGUUUCAAAUACUAAAUCUGAAUUUCACUAAAGAAUAUUUAAGAAAAAAAUGAAAUAGUUUCCGCUUGAAAAUAACAUAAACAUUUUGUCUGGGUGUGCUGUUGAAAUAGUUUCUAGAUAAAAUUCAAUGUAUGGUAAUGUGAAAAUAGUGUCACUUGUUUUAGCUGUGUUUUUGGUGGAGUAACUGAGGCAGACUGGGUUAUGGGUUACAGUGAUACUAGUUAGAGUCUCCUUCAGCUAAGAUCAUGAAUAGAUCAGGCUAAUGCUAAGAAUUGAUUAUGCUUUUAAAUCUUAGUAUUAAAAUAUUCCAAAUAGGUUUGGUAAGUUUUGCAUGUCGCUAACUUUGAAUGUAGAUAUACUUCAUUACAUUUCUUUUUGCAUAUAUACCAUGUAUACACUUUUCAGUGUCUGCUUUUCAUGCUUGAGUUUUCUUUUAGCUCAUAACACCAGUAGCUACCAUUAACUUCGCACAGAAAAAGCAUUAGCAGAUUGAAAUAAGUUUUAACUGUUGCUCUGUUCUUUUUCGCAUUACUUUACGCAGAGCCCUUCUACCCAAUGAGUUGCAAGCGUGACAUUUGCUGUGUUUUCAGCACCUGCCAACUUGGAAACCAGGGUUUGUGCUCAGGACUCAGGCUUACAACCCACACUUUGUGGUGCACAAUGCGGUCCCAGCUGGCAUGCUUCUUACCUCAAUGGUGCUAGACGUUCGGUUACAAAGCUGUGCAGAUCCACAUGCGCUCAUUUCAAUAGGCGUCCCCUUCAAGCUGCUUUCAACUCUCACUUUGACUCAAAGGAGUUAGAUUGGUAUCAUUAAAUUCACUGCUUUGCUUAUUCUUCAGUGGAAAUAAAUUCAUUUUACUUAGCUCUUGAAUCAAAAAAUAACUGUCUUCAGGAUCCAGAGUACCUCUUUUAAAAGGUGUGUGUCCAUGGGAGAAAGAUUUCUGUGUCUGUGUAUGUAGAUCUAUGUGAGCUUCCAGCCAGAGCGCUGACUCAUUUUCAUCGGUGGAAAGGUUUCAGGACAGAACGUAAAAAAAGCAGAAAGGAAAGGUCGGAAGGAUUAGUAUGUCAUAACAUGCUUAUGUAGGUAGGGCUGUUAGUUAUAGCUGGAUCAUAGCUGUGGGAAAACAAUUAUAGAACUUAGUUUUCUCAAUAAGAUCUGCAUAAGAAAAUGGCCCUCAUGGUAGGUUCAGAUUUUUUGGCUUGCAUCUAUAACCAAAACCCUCACAUAGUUUUUGAAGAAGUGUAUCUUGCUAACUUGUUUUCAGUAGGCAGUCUCUUUGAAAAUGCUUCAGGUGAUAUGUCUUCCCAGCAUCUAUUAUGAGCAAUUUUAAAAGGUUCUGCUUUAAAAAGAUCUUUUCAGAUGUAGAAAGGACAGUGUGAAAUGUGAAUGACUGGCUUUUAAUACAGCAGUUGUGACAAAGAGGCAGUGGCUUUUGGGAGCUGAAUAAUGGGGUUAAUACACAUGCAUCUGCAUACUGCUGUUAGGGCCAAUUGAGAACACGUUUGAUGUUUGUUUCACUCACAUCGUUGGUCUGAAAAGAAUAUUAUUCUCAGAAACAAACCAGUUUGCCAUUUUUUAGUGCUGAACUCUAUUUACCAUCAUAGGUACAGACAGAUUUGAUGGGAAAAACUGAAUAGUAUUGACUGAUAGUUGUUCAAACUUCAAAAUUUAGCUCCUUGUUGUUUGAACAUCAUGUUUAUCUGAUUCCAAAGGCACAAAAAAUAGGAAUUCCCACUAUGGUGCAGCAGGUUAAGGAUAUGGCGUUGCCACAGCUGUGGCGUAAGUUGCAGUUGUGGCUCAGAUUUGAUCCCUGGCCAGAAACUUCCAUGUGCCUUGGGUGUGGCCAAAAAC